rnacentral:lncRNA from 1 species
UUUCUUGACCUACCUUCUGAUGCUACUCAUUUGCUCAUGAAAGUUCCAUCCAGCACGUACUGCAGCCUUUUCUGUUGCAUAUGAGUGCUUGUUUGUUUCAGCGCUCAACUCCUCAGCUUUUAGAAGCCUUUGUCUAGGUCUUUGUUGAGCUAAGGUUGCUCCUACUAACCUUGUACCUGAUUACUUUACUUCAGGUUGAAAUACAGCAUAAGCAUUGUGGCAGACAAGGGAUUGAAAAAGUCAUUAUAUACUUCUGCGAGGCUGAAAAAAGGCGAAGUCAUAUACUUGGAAACACAUUAUAAUAGGUAUGAGCUGUUACCGUUAACUAUUUGGCCAUCACCUGAAGUUAUAUUUUUGACUUCUGUGGAGCACAGUUCCUUCAUUUCCCCCCCUCCUGUUACUGCAAGUUUUCACAGGUAUGAGCUGUGCUU